CACAAUUGAACUCAUUGACAUGGCUGGAAAGUCUAUAAUUGAAACUGUUAGAGGACUUUGCACGACGCCUUCCAAGACUGCUCAUGCUAAUGUUAAAAGUGAGCUUGAAUCCCAACUCAGAAGUGAAGCUUUACCUGCAGAGUCUACUUUCCCCACACCGAACUUGAACGCUUACAUUGUGGUGUUCGUCAUAGCAGGAACAUACAAAAUAUAGUUGUAUGACGAGUCCGUUGGUAAAAGUGACGUCGACAUUGUAUAAGACGAGGAUACCUAAAGAGAUCAGAUGAUAAGAUAAGGAUACCAAAAGAGAUCGGAUAUUGAUAAAUGCAUAGCGCC